GGGGAAUAUUGGGCAAUGGGCGCAAGCCUGACCCAGCAACGCCGCGUGAGGGAAGAAGGUUUUCGGAUUGUAAACCUCUGUCCUUAGGGACGAAAAAAAUGACGGUACCUAAGGAGGAAGCUCCGGCUAACUACGUGCCAGCAGCCGCGGUAAUACGUAGGGAGCAAGCGUUGUCCGGAAUUACUGGGCGUAAAGGGUGCGUAGGUGGCCAUGCAAGUCAGAUGUGAAAUCCCCGGGCUUAACUCGGGUGCUGCAUUUGAAACUGCGUGGCUUGAGUGCAGGAGAGGAAAGCGGAAUUCCUAGUGUAGCGGUGAGAUGCGUAGAUAUUAGGAGGAACACCAGUGGCGAAGGCGGCUUUCUGGACUGUAACUGACACUGAGGCACGAAAGCGUGGGGAGCAAAC
rnacentral:rRNA from 1 species